UACGUAGAGUGCAAGCGUUAAUCGGAAUUACUGGGCGUAAGCGUGCGCAGGCGGUUCGCUAAGACAGAUGUGAAAUCCCCGGGCUAACCUGGGAACUGCAUUGUGACUGGCGGGCUAGAGUAUGGCAGAGGGGGUAGAAUUCCACGUGUAGCAGUGAAAUGCGUAGAGAUGUGGAGGAAUACCGAUGGCGAAGGCAGCCCCCUGGGCCAAUACUGACGCUCAUGCACGAAAGCGUGGGGAGCAAACAGG
rnacentral:rRNA from 1 species